rnacentral:rRNA from 1 species
UACGGGGGGAGCAAGCGUUGUUCGGAUUUACUGGGCGUAAAGGGCGCGUAGGCGGCGCAACAAGUCACUUGUGAAAUCUCCGGGCUUAACUCGGAACGGCCAAGUGAAACUGUCAUGCUAGAGUGCAGAAGGGGCAAUCGGAAUUCUUGGUGUAGCGGUGAAAUGCGUAGAUAUCAAGAGGAACACCUGAGGUGAAGACGGGUUGCUGGGCUGACACUGACGCUGAGGCGCGAAAGCCAGGGGAGCAAACGGG